GCUGGGCAUGGUGGUGCAUGCCUGUAAUCCCAGUGACUUGGGAGGCUGAGUCAGGAGGAUCGAGAUUUCAAGCCAGCCUCAGCAACUUAGCGAGGGCCUAAGCAACUUAGUAAGAUUCUGUCUCAA
rnacentral:sRNA from 1 species